rnacentral:rRNA from 1 species
GGGUUGUGAGGUUAAGCGACUAAGCGUACACGGUGGAUGCCCUGGCAGUCAGAGGCGAUGAAGGGCGUGCUAAUCUGCGAUAAGCGCCGGUAAGGUGAUAUGAACCGUUAUAACCGGCGAUACCCGAAUGGGGAAACCCAGUGUGAUUCGUCACACUAUCAUUAACUGAAUCCAUAGGUUAAUGAGGCGAACCGGGGGAACUGAAACAUCUAAGUACCCCGAGGAAAAGAAAUCAACCGAGAUUCCCCCAGUAGCGGCGAGCGAACGGGGAGGAGCCCAGAGCCUGAAUCAGCAUGUGUGUUAGUGGAAGCGUCUGGAAAGGCGCGCGAUACAGGGUGACAGCCCCGUACACAAAAGCGCAUGUGCUGUGAGCUCGAUGAGUAGGGCGGGACACGUGGUAUCCUGUCUGAAUAUGGGGGGACCAUCCUCCAAGGCUAAAUACUCCUGACUGACCGAUAGUGAACCAGUACCGUGAGGGAAAGGCGAAAAGAACCCCGGCGAGGGGAGUGAAAAAGAACCUGAAACCGUGUACGUACAAGCAGUGGGAGCCCCACCACCAAAGCAUUCUCUGGUGUUGAAGGCCCUGCAAAGCAGCAUCGCGGUGGCGGAGCGUCGUUUGCGACGCCCAACACACAAAACAAGCGGUGAGUGCUUUGGGGUGGGGUGACUGCGUACCUUUUGUAUAAUGGGUCAGCGACUUAUAUUCUGUAGCAAGGUUAACCGAAUAGGGGAGCCGGAGGGAAACCGAGUCUUAAUUGGGCGUUAAGUUGCAGGGUAUAGACCCGAAACCCGGUGAUCUAGCCAUGGGCAGGUUGAAGGUUGGGUAACACUAACUGGAGGACCGAACCGACUAAUGUUGAAAAAUUAGCGGAUGACCUGUGGCUGGGGGUGAAAGGCCAAUCAAACCGGGAGAUAGCUGGUUCUCCCCGAAAGCUAUUUAGGUAGCGCCUCGUGAAUUCAUCUCCGGGGGUAGAGCACUGUUUCGGCUAGGGGGCCAUCCCGGCUUACCAACCCGAUGCAAACUGCGAAUACCGGAGAAUGUUAUCACGGGAGACACACGGCGGGUGCUAACGUCCGUCGUGAAGAGGGAAACAACCCAGACCGCCAGCUAAGGUCCCAAAGUCAUGGUUAAGUGGGAAACGAUGUGGGAAGGCCCAGACAGCCAGGAUGUUGGCUUAGAAGCAGCCAUCAUUUAAAGAAAGCGUAAUAGCUCACUGGUCGAGUCGGCCUGCGCGGAAGAUGUAACGGGGCUAAACCAUGCACCGAAGCUGCGGCAGCGAACGUAUCACUUAAAGCGAUUCAGCGGGUUACGAUUGACGGAGCGAAGCGACGUCAAAGCGUAUACAAAGUCGAGUCGGUUUAAGGAUACGUUCGUUGGGUAGGGGAGCGUUCUGUAAGCCUGUGAAGGUGUGUCGUGAGGCAUGCUGGAGGUAUCAGAAGUGCGAAUGCUGACAUAAGUAACGAUAAAGCGGGUGAAAAGCCCGCUCGCCGGAAGACCAAGGGUUCCUGUCCAACGUUAAUCGGGGCAGGGUGAGUCGACCCCUAAGGC